rnacentral:rRNA from 1 species
UAACGGGUAACGGGGAAUCAGGGUUCGAUUCCGGAGAGGGAGCCUGAGAAAUGGCUACCACAUCCAAGGAUGGCAGCAGGCGCGCAAAUUACCCACUCCCAGCUUGGGGAGGUAGUGACGAAAAAUAACAAUGCGGGACUCUAAGAGGCCCCGUAAUUGGAAUGAGUACACCUUAAAUCGUUUAACGAGUAUCAAUUGGAGGGCAAGUCUGGUGCCAGCAGCCGCGGUAAUUCCAGCUCCAAUAGCGUAUAUUAAAGUUGCUGCAGUUAAAAAGCUCGUAGUUGGAUCUGGGGCUUGAGGUCGCUGUCUAUCGCUUCGGCGAUGACGGUGAUGCUCAGCUCUGCUUGCCGGUGACUGUUGCGGUGUUCUUCACUGAGCGCUGUAGCAGCACGGCACGUUUACUUUGAAAAAAUUAGAGUGCUCAAAGCGUGCUUGUCGCUUGAAUAAUGUUGCAUGGAAUAAUGGAAUAGGACCUCGGUUCUAUUUUGUUGGUUUUCGGAGCUUGAGGUAAUGAUUAAGAGGGACGAACGGGGGCAUUCGUAUUGCGGUGUUAGAGGUGAAAUUCUUGGAUCGCCGCAAGACGGACUACUGCGAAAGCAUUUGCCAAGAACGCUUUCAUUAAUUAAGAACGAAAGUCAGAGGUUCGAAGACGAUCAGACACCGUCCUAGUUCUGACCAUGAACGAUGCCGACCAGCGAUCCGUAGUGGUUGCUUUAUGGACCCUACGGGCAGCCUCCGGGAAACCAAAGUAUUUGGGUUCCGGGGGAAGUAUGGUUGCAAAGCUGAAACUUAAAGGAAUUGACGGAAGGGCACACCAGGAGUGGAGCCUGCGGCUUAAUUUGACCCAACACGGGAAAACUCACCCGGUCCGGACACCGUAAGGAUUGACAGACUGAUAGCUCUUUCUUGAUUCGGUGGAUGGUGGUGCAUGGCCGUUCUUAGUUGGUGGAGUGAUUUGUCUGGUUAAUUCCGAUAACGAACGAGACUCUAGCCUGCUAAGUAGUGUUGCUAUUGUUAUAUGGUUGACACUUCUUAGAGGGACAAGUGGCAUUUAGCCACGCGAAAUUGAGCAAUAACAGGUCUGUGAUGCCCUUAGAUGUCCGGGGCCGCACGCGCGCUACACUGGAGAAGUCAGCGUGUGUUAUCCAAGUCCGAAAGGACUGGGUAAUCCGUUGAACCUUCUUCGUGCUUGGGACUGUGGCUUGGAACUAUUCCACAUGAACGAGGAAUUCCUAGUAAUUGCAAGUCAUAAGCUUGCGUUGAUUACGUCCCUGCCCUUUGUACACACCGCCCGUCGCUACUACCGAUUGAAUGGUUUAGCAAGGUCCUCGGAUCGUGGCCGUAGGGGCACGCAAGUGUUUCUGCGGUUUGCGAGAAGACGACCAAACUUGAUCAUUUAGAGGAAGAAAAAGUCGUAACAAGGUU